rnacentral:rRNA from 1 species
UACGGGGGGGGCAAGCGUUUGUUCGGAAUUACUGGGCGUAAAGGGCUCGUAGGCGGCCAACUAAGUCGGAUGUGAAAUCCCCAGGCUUAACCUGGGAACUGCAUCCGAUACUGGAUGGCUUGAAUCCGGGAGAGGGAUGCAGAAUUCCAGGUGUAGCGGUGAAAUGCGUAGAUAUCUGGAGGAAUACCGGUGGCGAAGGCGGCAUCCUGGACCGGCAUUGACGCUGAGUGAGCGAAAGCCAGGGGAGCAAACGGG